rnacentral:rRNA from 1 species
UACGUAGGGGGCAAGCGUUGUCCGGAUUUAUUGGGCGUAAAGCGCGUGUAGGCGGCCAGGUAGGUCGGUUGUGAAAAUUGGAGGCUCAACCUCCAGACGUCGAUCGAAACCAUCUGGCUAGAGUCCGGAAGAGGAGAGUGGAAUUCCUGGUGUAGCGGUGAAAUGCGCAGAUAUCAGGAAGAACACCAAUGGCGAAAGCAGCUCUCUGGGACGGUACUGACGCUGAGACGCGAAAGCGUGGGGAGCGAACAGG